AUCGUUUUCUUGGCCUUUUGACUAAGAUCAAGUAUAGUAUCUGUUCUUAUUAGUAAAUACACAGGCCUUUGGGUCAGUCACCCUUUCCUUGUUCAUCUUCUGAAAUCCUCUCGCUUCCCUGGGAGACGUAAUGCAAAUGCUAUCUUUGACUGCUCCUUUUUCUCAGGUGUCAGCCCCUCAUC
rfam:Mesocricetus auratus contig022470, whole genome shotgun sequence.